CCAAUUUCCAUCUGAAUGAAUAAAGCCCCACUGAGAGGCAGGGACCGGCCCGCCGCUCCGGCCCCAAAUACCCGACGACCACUGGAGCAAAUGGGUAUACAAAGCAGAAGAAAAGAACGAGCCCAGGAGAGGGGGCGAGGGGGGGGGGGGGGGGGUCCUCUAAAGACAUGUUUAUAUACGUUAAAGAAAAUGCAAAUGUGUCCCGUGAGGAACAGAGAUCUCUGAGACUCUCUAAUGCCGCUGUUGUUGAACUCACGUGCAGACUGGCGAGAUCGACACGGCGCUCACGUGAAAGGGGUGUGUGUGUGUGUGUGCGUCCUUCACAAAUGGCAGCUUUGCGCAGAGGAUGAAAAAUCCAAUCCAACAUUGUAAAGAGAGAGAAAGUUUUAACCCACGAGGCCAAACUCAACACUUAGUGUGUAGUUUGCUUUGACUGCUUUGUGUUUCUGUGUGUGAGACAGAAUGCUGAGCGACCUGAACAAGAAACACCACGGCUGUCACACGGCGCCCGGGCAGCGCGUCACGUCCCAGCUGGGACCCAAUGGGCUUUUCCUGCUGCUCUCUGGGAGCAGAAUCCUGUCCAUCAGUCCAUCCGUUGACCUGUAGCUUCGUAUUCAGCUCAUGAAGUAUUCACUAAUGUUUAGAAGUCCUGAACAGGGUUCCUAAGGUGUGAUGGUGUCCAUCCACUACAGCUGCAAACGUCAUUAUUGUAUUUUUAUUCACACAUGGAUGCCUGUACACUGUUGAAGUGGGGAGGGGGCUGCUGGAGAAAUCCCCUGCAGUUAUUCAUAUAUUCUUUGAACUUAGAGAGAAAGUCAACAUCCUCCCAACUUGUUUUAACUUAAUUUAAACAAUUACGUCUUAUUGGAAUUUUUAAUGGACAAUGAAUGAACAUAUCAAUUAUUGAAAGACAAGCGCUGCUGUAUUCCACAUGUGACAAAGCGUGUGGAACCUUGUUUUGGGGGGACAAAAGGAUCAUAAUCUAUAAAGCUUAUCUAAACCCUUUUUUAAAUAUAAAUGUUGGUUUUGCUGUGAUGUCCUUAAAUAAUACCAGAAUGGCGUCUCUUCAUGGUGGGACAGGCCUGACUGUGUCCAACUGCAAGCUGCUCGACUAGAUGUUGUCCAGUCAGGUGUCUCCUGUUUGACUUUCUGUGGCAGAUGGGUUCUUUAUAGAACAUGCCAACCGAUAUUAGCUUCUGUACGGCAAGACGAGUGCUGCCCCUGAAAGGCUGUGCAUGUGUGUGUGAGGGGGAGAGAGAGAGAGAAAGAGAGGGGCAAAGGGAGGGGUGAGGGAGGGAGAUUGAACUUCAAUUGUGAAGAAUGAGAAGAGAAAAUCUCUUAGAGCCGUGACGGGGCCCGGUCCUCUGUAAAUGCAUUUUAAUAGGAGGGACCCUGAUGUCUAUGGCAAUUCAUCUCCAAUCUCCCUGUAAGGAGAAGAAUGGUGGUGCAGCGCCGGGCUGGAGCAGUGGGUGUGGGAGUGGGGAUGGAGCAGUGGUACACAAAGGCUGCAUUUGGCUUUGCCUCAUUAUGCUGCAGUUAGAAGGGCUGCACGGAGGCUGCGGGGGUUCGAUUCCCCACAGACCAGCUCAGGGCAACAAUACCGGCAUGGAAGGCAGCGAAGGGAGACCCUGCCAAGCCAUUAUCCCGCCGCCGCUAACGAGGGCUUCAUACGCCUUUGAUAUAAUCUCACUAUUGAAUUCCUGAUAAAUCCCCUCCUGCGUUUUCAGCCAAAUCCCAUUUGUAACGGACUCGCCAAACACAGUGAGUGAGUGUGUGAGUGUGUGUGUGUGUGUGUGUGUGUGUGUGUCGUCGUCACCUGCGCCUCUCUGUUCUGGCAGCCGAGGCCGAGGGGAGAUGCAUGUUAAACCGGCCCGUUACACUGGCUUUGAUACAAAUCCCCUCUUACGCGCACGAGACGUCUCGUGAGCCAAUCUGAGUUGAGACCCAAUUGUAAUACAAUGUAUGUUUAAGUGGAUAUAGUCCCUUUCUUUCCCCACAUAUUAUCUGAUAGUCAAACAAUAACUGGAUUACAACACACGAGGGGACAAAUGAUGGAAGUCGGAGCAAAUUAAUGGAAUUUAUUAAUGAGGAAAAAUGAGCCAUAAAACGAGACUAUUCCCACCAGUUACAUUGUUAGAAUGCAGCUCAGCCAUUACUCCGCUUGUUAAGCUGCCUCAGCAUCACGGGGCUGUCAGAAGGGCAUCGCAUGAAACCCUGUCUGUCUGGGUGGGUGGCUCGGGGAAGGUGGAAGUGAAAUAAAGGCAUAUCACGUCAUGUUAUUCUAUAGAGGUGAAGAGGUCACCGGGACAGCUCGGCCCCCGGUCGCUGCUGCUUUGGCUCCAGGGGGCCACACGGGGGGCAUCUAACCGAAAAGUGUGAGAGCAUAAAUGUCUUUGCCCCUAUAUGAGCAUCCUGAGCAGACACUAUUUAAAUGCUUUGUCCUCUAACUCAGGGACACUGCGCAUCUCUGCCCCCCCCCC
ensembl:lncRNA